UGCGUGCAUGCUAAUUCUGGUUUACAAC
rnacentral:piRNA from 1 species